AGAGUUUGAUCCUGGCUCAGGAUGAACGCUAGCGGCAGGCUUAACACAUGCAAGUCGAGGGGUAUUUAUCUUCGGAUAGAGAGACCGGCGCACGGGUGCGUAACGCGUAUGCAAUCUACCUUUUGCAGAGGGAUAGCCCAGAGAAAUUUGGAUUAAUACCUCAUAGUAUAGUGAUACCGCAUGGUACUACUAUUAAAGUCACAACGGCAAAAGAUGAGCAUGCGUCCCAUUAGCUAGUUGGUAAGGUAACGGCUUACCAAGGCUACGAUGGGUAGGGGUCCUGAGAGGGAGAUCCCCCACACUGGUACUGAGACACGGACCAGACUCCUACGGGAGGCAGCAGUGAGGAAUAUUGGACAAUGGGCGCAAGCCUGAUCCAGCCAUGCCGCGUGCAGGAUGACGGUCCUAUGGAUUGUAAACUGCUUUUGCACAGGAAGAAACAACGCUACGUGUAGCGUCUUGACGGUACUGUGAGAAUAAGGAUCGGCUAACUCCGUGCCAGCAGCCGCGGUAAUACGGAGGAUCCAAGCGUUAUCCGGAAUCAUUGGGUUUAAAGGGUCCGUANGCGGUUUAGUAAGUCAGUGGUGAAAGCCCAUCGCUCAACGGUGGAACGGCCAUUGAUACUGCUAGACUUGAAUUAUUAGGAAGUAACUAGAAUAUGUAGUGUAGCGGUGAAAUGCUUAGAGAUUACAUGGAAUACCAAUUGCGAAGGCAGGUUACUACUAAU
rnacentral:rRNA from 1 species